GUGAUACACCCACCUCAGGCUCCCAAAGUGCUGGGAUUACAGGACUGAGCCACCGUGCCAGGCCAGCUUUUCUUGACAUAAAGGAGAGAUGUGACUGGGGCCACCCCUUAUCUCAUCUCAAGAUGAGCUAUCAUAUUGAGACUAUGAGGUUAGAGUCACAGGUGACAAAUCAACAUUUUAAGGGUGCCAGAGCAGAUGACAGAAAGAGCCUGAGUUGCUAGUGGCAUCACCAAGCAACUGGACUGAUGCCAGCAGCCAUGUACACUGGACAUCUUAUUACAAAAGGAAAACACACCCUUAAUUGUUUAAACUCCUGCUAGUUGGGUAUGUUACUUGUAACUGAAGAAAAACUUGAAUGGGACAGAGUACUGAUUCCAGGUACCCAUUUUGCUUUGAUUCAACCUUUUUUAAAAAAAUGUUGUGGGUACAUAAUAGGCAUAUAUAUUUAUGGGGUACAUGAGAUAUUUUGAUACAGUCAUACAAUGCAUAAUAAUCACAUCAGGGUAAACGUGGUAUCCAUCGCCUCAAGAAUUUAUCCUUUUUGCAUUUCUACUUCGCUCGCCCACGGAUGUAGUUUUUUCCGCACGUGCGCGCCUUCCCUCCUCCCCGCCCUCAGGGUCCGCGGCCACCAUGGCGUAUUAGGGGCAGCAGUGCCUGCGGCAGCAUUGGCCUUUGCAGCGGCGGCAGCAGCACCAGGCUCUGCAGCGGCACCCCCCAGCGGCUUAAGCCAUGGCGCUUCUCACGGCAUUCAGUAGCAGCGUUGCUGUAACCGACAAAGACACCUUCGAAUUAAACACAUUCCUCGAUUCCAGCAAAGCACCGCAACAUGACCGAAAUGAGCUUCCUGAGCAGCGAGGUGUUGGUGGGGGACUUGAUGUCCCCCUUCGACCAGGUUUGGGGGCUGAGGAAAGCCUAGGUCUGUUAAAUGACUACCUGGAGGUGGCCAAGCACUUCAAACCUCAUGGGUUCUCCAGCGACAAGGCUAAGGCGGGCUCCUCCGAAUGGCUGGCUGUGGAUGGGUUGGUCAGUCCCUCCAACAAGAGCAAGGAGGAUGCCUUCUCUGGGACAGAUUGGAUGUUGGAGAAAAUGGAUUUGAAGGAGUUCGACUUUGAUGCCCUGUUGGGUAUAGAUGACCUGGAAACCAUGCCAGAUGACCUUUUGACCACUUUGGAUGACACUUGUGAUCUCUUUGCCCCCCUAGUCCAGGAGACUAAUAAGGAGCCCCCCCAGACGGUGAACCCAAUUGGCCAUCUCCCUCCCAGAAAGUUUAAUAAAACCCAACCAGGUUGCCCCCUUCACCUUCUUGCAACCUCUUCCCCUUUCCCCAGGAGUCCUGUCCUCCACUCCAGAUCAUUCCUUUAGUUUAGAGCUGGGCAGUGAAGUGGAUAUCACUGAAGGAGAUAGGAAGCCAGACUCCACUGCUUACGUUGUCAUGAUCCCUCAGUGCAUAAAGGAGGAAGACACUCCUUCAGAUAAUGAUAGUGGAAUAUGUAUGAGCCCGGAGUUGUAUCUGGGGUCUCCUCAGCAUAGCCCUUCUACCAGGGGCUCUCCAAAUAGGAGUCUCCCAUCUCCAGAUGUUCUCUGUGGGUCUGCCCGCCCCAAACCUUACGAUCCUCCUGGAGAGAAGAUGAUAGCAACAAAAGUAAAGGGUGAGAAACUGGAUAAGAAGCUGAAAAAAAUGGAGCAAAACAAGACAGCAGCCACUAGGUACCGCCAGAAGAAGAGGGUGGAGCAGGAGGCUCUCACUGGCGAGUGCAAAGAGCUAGAAAAGAAGAACGAGGCUCUAAAAGAGAGGGCGGAUUCCCUGGCCAAGGAGAUCCAGUACCUGAAAGAUUUGAUAGAAGAUGUCCGCAAGGCAAGGGGGAAGAAAAGGGUCCCCUAGUUGAGGGUAGUCAGGAGCGUCAAUAUGCUUGUACAUAGAGUGUCUGCUGUAGCUGUGUGUUCCAAUAAAUUAUUUUGUAGGGAAAAAAAAAA